GACCGCUUGGCGCAAUGGUAGCGCGUUCGACUCCAGAUCGACAGGCUGGGCGUUCGAUCCGCUCAGUGGUCA
rfam:Ancylostoma ceylanicum strain HY135 Acey_s0130_scaf, whole genome shotgun sequence.